AUGGUUGGACGUGGGCUGCCGCAUGGCAAGCGAGGUCCGUCGACCGCCGUUGGAGCGGAUGCCGUUGUCGCUGCUGGUCGCGGCAAUCCAGCCGCCGCGGUGGCAGGGUCUAUCGGGGGCGGCCGCGCCGCUGCGCCCAUCGUCGCCGGUGGUGCUGCUGGACGCGGCGGGCCAACACCGCAACAGCAGCCUGGAACGGGUGCCGGCCGGGGUGCUCUCCUUCAACCGCGGCAAGGCCCAAUCACCGGAGCAGGUGUUGCUCCCCCCGCGCGACUAGGCCCGGUCACGGUUGCUCUAAGCUCGCAGGCACCUGUACAUGACGUGCAGCGGCAGGGCGAGCCGGUGCAGCAACCGGUGGCCAAGGUACCAGCUCUAGGACGAGGUCGUGGCGCUCAGGGCCGUGGUGGUUUCUAUGGUAACAACAGAGAUGGAUGGAAUGCUAACCGGCACGGGAGGUGGGGAGACGAUGGUUAUGAUUCAUAUGGAGAGGGGCUGCACCGUGGUUCUUCUUCCGGUGGCGGCCGUGGGCACAACUGGUACAAUGAUGGUGGUCCUGGACAGUUUCAGGGGCCGCCCCGUAAUUUUGUGGAAGGCGUUGCUGGACCCAACUAUCGCUUCUGGGGUGGAUAUCGGCGUGGUGGGAGAGGUAGAUGCCCACCUCCACCGCGCCAUAUCCCUCCGCCGCCACCGCCCGUUGCAGAUAUGGCUACGGGGGAGGAGCUUGAGCACACAGAGACGAAUUCAUCUACGCUGCCGGCGGCUGCGGCUGACGUGGUUACGGCUCUGGCAGUGGUGACAGUACCGGCGACAUCUGGAGCUUCAAAUCUCAGAGAGGGUACUUCUGACAAAGGGCCGGAGAAAGUGGAUGGAGAGAAACUAUCCAAGUGGGCAAUUAAGAAAAAGAAGUUGCCUUGCUUUAGAUGUGGCGAACUGGGUCACCUUAUGGCAGAGUGCACUAAUGAGCUUUGCGAUUAUUGCCUAAAAUCUCAGCACCUUACUGGAGAUUGCCCACUUCUAUCUGAUCCUAAACCUGGCAUUAGCAUUUUCGGUGUGUGUUGCAAGGAGCUGAUGUUUUUUGAGACUCCGGAAGUGGACUCGCUACCACAGAUGGCUGAGAGUUCCUUUCCCGCAGUUGUCCGGGUGACUAAUGGUCAGUUGUCUGAGGCUCAGAUUGUGAGACAGUUGCGUGACUUGGUACCAGGUAACCAUCCAUGGCAUCUGGAACAGUUAGAGGGACAGUCCUAUAAGGUGGAUUUUCCCACUAAAGAGGAUCAGAUGCAUUUUCUCAAGUGGGGCAUGUGUAGAGUCCCAAGCACCAACACUAUUAUUGCUUUUGAUGAAUGGAAGCGGGAGGAACCGGAGGAUAUACCUUUAGAGAAGGUGUGGGUUCGUUUCUUUGGUGUUCCACCAAAAUUGAUGAAGCAUUUUCUGAUUGCUUGGAGCUUGGGUAGGAUGAUUGGCAAGACUGAAAAAGUGGACAUGCCCUUUACUCGUGCGCAAGGGGCUGCACGGUUACUAGUCAGUGUCGCGAGUGUUGAACACAUUCCGGAUUUGGUUAGAUGGACAUAUGCUGGAGUCACAUAUAUUUUAGAGCUUGAGAUUGAGGAUACUCCGAUCUCCCAAGAUGGGGAUGAGCCUCAGGAUAUGGACACAACUGAGGGGGGUGGAGCGCCCGGGAAUCAGGAUAAGGGUGCUGACAAUUCUCAACGGGAGUCAGAGAAGGAGCCCGAUGCGCAACCAGAUAAGGCAGAUAGUUCUGCCCAACAGGCGCCACCGUCUACUACUCCGAUGACCACUCUUCGUUUUGGUUCGUUUGGUUCGAGUUCAGCUCCUAGUCGGCUUUGGAGUUCCAGAGUUGAGACUGACGACCCGACAGAGCUUGAGUUGCCUUCAAUCUUGAGUGUUUCCUGCGAGACGACAACUGCACUUGAGAGGCACGUUGACUGUGGUGAUGUCAUGAUGGCUUCCCCUCCGGCCGGGCUGGUUGCUACUCACGAGGUAGCUGUGAGUGGGGAGCCCGACCGGUCUUAUUCGGGAGGGGCACCUGGACAGGUGGUCUGUGCCUCUCCUCCCACCGUGACGGCGGGCCAGUUUUCUUUGGGCGGGACGCCUGGACAGGAGGUCCGUGGCUCCCCUCCCAUCUCGAUGGCGACGAUUCCUGAUGAGAGGGGGGUGAGGUGUGGGAAAGACACCCGUGCUGUAACCCCCUUGCAGGGUAUCGCCAUGCAGAGCGAGGAGUUGGGGGUGAUGUGCGAGAAGGAGUCCCGCGCCCUAACACCCCCACAGGACGGUGUCGUUCAAGGCGGCCAGGCCCUAUCCCCCUUCGGCUGGGAUCCGAUCCUCCAUGCCCUUCCCUUCUUCAUCGACGAUAGGGGAGGGGUGUGGGAGUCAGGAUUUUACUUCUCAGGAGAGGACCACAGAGGAGCUUAUCGCUUUUGGUGGGAUUGCGGAUCCGGUGUCGGCUGGCAGGCGUGUCAGCAAUCGGAUCCAGGGGCAGUCGGAUGCGGAUGA
rnacentral:rRNA from 1 species